UACGUAGGGUGCGAGCGUUAAUCGGAAUUACUGGGCGUAAAGCGUGCGCAGGCGGUUUUGUAAGCCAGAUGUGAAAGCCCCCGGCUCAACUGGGGAGGGUCAUUCGAUACUGCUCGACUUGAAGGCAGGAGAGGGCAGCAGAAUUCCCGGUGUAGUGGUGAAAUGCGUAGAUAUCGGGAGGAAUACCAGUGGCGAAGGCGGCUGCCUGGCCUGUUCUUGACGCUGAGGCGCGAAAGCUGGGGGAGCAAACGGG
rnacentral:rRNA from 1 species